UACGGAGGGAGCUAGCGUUGUUCGGAAUUACUGGGCGUAAAGCGCACGUAGGCGGCUUUGUAAGUUAGAGGUGAAAGCCCGGGGCUCAACCCCGGAAUUGCCUUUAAGACUGCAUCGCUUGAAUCCAGGAGAGGUGAGUGGAAUUCCCAGUGUAGAGGUGAAAUUCGUAGAUAUUGGGAAGAACACCGGUGGCGAAGGCGGCGCUCUGGACCGAGACUGACGCUGAGGCGCGAAAGCGUGGGGAGCAAACAGG
rnacentral:rRNA from 1 species